UACGUAGGGAGCAAGCGUUGUCCGGAAUCAUUGGGCGUAAAGCGUCCGCAGGUGGCGAUGUAAGUCUGCUGUUAAAGAGUGAGGCUCAACCUCAUAAGAGCAGUGGAAACUACAUAGCUAGAGUGCGGUAGGGGCAGAGGGAAUUCCUGGUGUAGCGGUGAAAUGCGUAGAGAUCAGGAAGAACACCGGUGGCGAAAGCGCUCUGCUAGGCCGCAACUGACACUGAGGGACGAAAGCUAGGGGAGCGAAUGGG
rnacentral:rRNA from 1 species